GAUGAACGCUGGCGGCGUGCCUAAUACAUGCAAGUCGAGCGAACAGACGAGGAGCUUGCUCCUCUGACGUUAGCGGCGGACGGGUGAGUAACACGUGGAUAACCUACCUAUAAGACUGGGAUAACUUCGGGAAACCGGAGCUAAUACCGGAUAAUAUAUUGAACCGCAUGGUUCAAUAGUGAAAGACGGUUUUGCUGUCACUUAUAGAUGGAUCCGCGCCGCAUUAGCUAGUUGGUAAGGUAACGGCUUACCAAGGCAACGAUGCGUAGCCGACCUGAGAGGGUGAUCGGCCCACCUGGAACUGAGACCCGGUCCAACAUCCUCGGGGGGGCAGGAGGAGGGAAUUUUCCGAAAUGGGCGAAAGCCUGAGGGAGCAACGCCGGGGGAGUGAUGAAGGGUUUCGGAUCGUAAAACUCUUUUAUUAGGGAAGAAAAAAUGUGUAAGUAACUAUGCACGUCUUGACGGUACCAAACCAGAAAGCCACGGCUAACUACGU
rnacentral:rRNA from 1 species